AAGUCGUGCGAGAAAGUUCUUCGGAUAUGAGUAGAGCGGCGGACGGGUGAGUAACGCGUAGGAAUCUACCUAGUAGAAGGGGAUAGCCCGGGGAAACCCGGAUUAAUACCGUAUACCUCCUUCGGGAGAAAGAAGGCCUCUCCUUGAAGCUUCCGCUAUUAGAUGAGCCUGCGUAAGAUUAGCUUGUUGGUGAGGUAAAGGCUCACCAAGGCUACGAUCUUUAGCUGGUCUGAGAGGACGAUCAGCCACAUUGGGACUGAGACACGGCCCAGACUCCUACGGGAGGCAGCAGUGGGGAAUAUUGGACAAUGGGCGCAAGCCUGAUCCAGCCAUACCGCGUGUGUGAAGAAGGCCUUCGGGUUGUAAAGCACUUUAAGCAGGGAGAAAAAGUUAUAAGUUAAUACCUUAUAACCCUGAUAUUACCUGCAGAAUAAGCACCGGCUAAUUCCGUGCCAGCAGCCGCGGUAAUACGGAAGGUGCAAGCGUUAAUCGGAAUUACUGGGCGUAAAGCGCGCGUAGGUGGUUUGUUAAGUUGGAUGUGAAAGCCCUGGGCUCAACCUAGGAACUGCAUCCAAAACUAACUCACUAGAGUACGAUAGAGGGAGGUAGAAUUCAUAGUGUAGCGGUGGAAUGCGUAGAUAUUAUGAAGAAUACCAGUGGCGAAGGCGGCCUCCUGGAUCUGUACUGACACUGAGGUGCGAAAGCGUGGGUAGCGAACAGGAUUAGAUACCCUGGUAGUCCACGCCGUAAACGAUGACAACUAGCUGUUGGAAGACAAAGUCUUUCAGUGG
rnacentral:rRNA from 1 species